UAAUAAGUAGAAGUUAUUGAAGUUUCAAAUUCUUUUUGUAAACAUAUGUCAAUAUGUUGUAUGUUGACUGGCUAAAAAUAUUUUGAAGCUGGAUUUGUGCAUGAUUGUGAAGCAAAGUCAAUGGGAGAGCACAUUGUUGUGAUUGCCAAGGUCAAGCAUUCACAGAGGAACAAUCCCCCACUGCAAGUCUGGAUUAUAUUCGAGAAAUAUGGUGCAAUAAUUUCAGCUCAUUGUACCUGCAUGGCAAGCCAUUCUGAAGUUUGCACUCACGUAGCUACUGUACUGUAUGGCCUGGAAUAUAUCAACCAAUUCUAGAGAGCAGACCCAGUAAACAGUUUUUGCGUAUGGCUUUCAUGUUCAUAUUCAAUGCUGAAUUUCAUCAUACACCUAUUCUUUCAAGUGUUUUUAUAUUUCUUGUUAACUGAUUUUUGACUCAUCAAGAGAAAUCACUUUUUUAAAAUAACCAUUAUUGUGGAUCAUUUUUUCAAUGAAUGUGUAUUGAAACUGACUUCCUCGUCUGACGGGGAGAAUAAACAAAACAAUAUGACCUUA